rnacentral:rRNA from 1 species
GACGAACGCUGGCGGCGUGCUUAACACAUGCAAGUCGAACGGUGAAGGGACCGGUUUUUGCUGGUUCUGGAUGAGUGGCGAACGGGUGAGUAACACGUGAGUAACCUGCCCCCUUCUUCUGGAUAACCGCAUGAAAGUGUGGCUAAUACGGGAUAUUCUGCGCCUGCUGCAUGGUGGGUGUGGGAAAGAUAUUGUUUCGGUGGGGGAUGGGCUCGCGGCCUAUCAGCUUGUUGGUGGGGUGAUGGCCUACCAAGGCGGUGACGGGUAGCCGGCCUGAGAGGGUGGACGGUCACACUGGGACUGAGACACGGCCCAGACUCCUACGGGAGGCAGCGGUGGGGAAUAUUGCACAAUGGGCGCAAGCCUGAUGCAGCGACGCCGCGUGAGGGAUGGAGGCCUGCGGGUUGUAAACCUCUUUCGCCAGUGAAGCAGGCCUGUCCCUUGUGUGGGUGGGUUGACGGUAGCUGGAUAAGAAGCGCCGGCUAACUACGUG